AUGAACUCCUCGAAGAGAUCUUCCGCCGCCGACCUCGCGCGCGCCUCCGCGGCCUGCGUCUCCUUCCGCCGCGUCAUCACCAGCCAUCCCUUCCUCCGCCGAUUCCGCGCCCUCCACCCGCCGCCCCUCCUCGGCAUCCUCUGCGGCGGCCUCAUCCCCGCCCAGCCGCCCCACCCUUCCGCCGCGGCGGCGGCCACCUUAGCCGACGCCGACUUCUCCUGCUCCUUCCUCCCGCCGUCCCGCGACCGCUGGUGCCUCCGCGACGGCCGCGCCCUUUUCUCCCCCGCCCCCGAGCGGACCGGCGGCGACUACAACCGCCGGGAUCUGGUUAGGGAGUUCGCUGUCUGCGACCCCCUGCACCGCCGGUACCUCCUGCUGCCUGCCCUCCCCGACCAUCUAGCCGACCAAGUCCAUCGACCGGACAUCAUACAUUGCGAGCCCUUCCUUGCUCCUCCCGGCGACGAAGAGGACUCGUCAUUCACAGACUUCAGAGUCAUACCCUACUACGCCCAUGGAUGCUUCUGCUUGGAGGUUUGUCCGGAAGACACGCUGCUCGUGCUCGAUGCACAAAGGCUGGAGUUCUCCCCUGUUGACCUCCCGCCUCCACUUGGCUCUUGUAAGUGGGACAUGGCCAUUGUGGAGGCAGCAGAAGGAAGGCUUGGGAUGCUUACUAUCUCUGAGCAUACUGAAGCUGGUGUGUACAAAUACCAUCUCGUGUAUGAUGUAUUGCAUCCUAAGGAUGAGAAUGGCACAAACCAGUGGCAAUCAAAGUCCGCAAUCCCUUUGCCGGUGAAUUAUCGCUAUGGCAUCUUGGGUGUAGCUGGUGGAUACUUGCUCCUAAUUGGGUAUCCACAACAGAACAGGCUAGUACUUGAUUAUUUUUCACUGAAUCUCCAGACAUUUCAGAUUGAGUGGUUCUGUCAGACUGGUCGCUGUGCCAUAACUAGCGACCUGAUGAGCAAGAAGCCUUUGUUUCUCAUCUUGUGA
rnacentral:rRNA from 1 species